CCCGGCAGGGGGCGGAGGCUGGGCAGCCAGCAGGACCUGAACGCAGCGUACCGGCGUCGUGGCGUGGGGAGGGGAAGAGAGAGAGCAUGUGAGCAGAGGAAGGAGGCAGAGGUACAAGCAGAUUCUGUGCUGAGCAUGAGCCCUAUGUGGGG
rnacentral:lncRNA from 1 species